rnacentral:rRNA from 1 species
ACGAACGCUGGCGGCGCGCCUAACACAUGCAAGUCGAACGGAGUCAAGAGGAGCUUGCUUUUCUUGACUUAGUGGCGAACGGGUGAGUAACGCGUGAGUAACCUGCCCUGGAGUGGGGGGCAACAGUUGGAAACGACUGCUAAUACCGCAUAAGCCCACGGAUCCGCAUGGAUCUGCGGGAAAAGGAUUUAUUCGCUUCAGGAUGGACUCGCGUCCAAUUAGCUAGUUGGUGAGGUAACGGCCCACCAAGGCGACGAUUGGUAGCCGGACUGAGAGGUUGAACGGCCACAUUGGGACUGAGACACGGCCCAGACUCCUACGGGAGGCAGCAGUGGGGGAUAUUGCACAAUGGGGGAAACCCUGAUGCAGCGACGCCGCGUGGAGGAAGAAGGUUUUCGGAUUGUAAACUCCUGUCGUUAGGGACGAUAAUGACGGUACCUAACAAGAAAGCACCGGCUAACUACGUG